AAUAUCAAAUUUUCUCCAAAAGGGGAAGAAACAGCAGCAGCAUACCUGAGUCGAUGCAAAGGGGAGUGGGAAGAGCACACUGGGGCUCAUCCACAUUCAGACAAAAUGCAGGAACAAAUGUUCAGGGCUGCUGUAUUGGAAGGAACUCCUAAAUCUGUACAAGAUGAAAUAAAAGCCAACCCCGAUUUACCAGGUGCUGUAUGUGAGGUUUGGGAACGACAUUUCCUUCAUCACAUGUCUAGGGCGAACGAAAAAGAAAAAGAAAAAGUAGGGGAAGUAGAGGAACUGAAAAAACAGUUGCUAAGAUUACAGUUGCAGGAAGCCAGAUCUAAAAUAAAUGAAGAAAAAGAGAAAAAGAAGGAUAAACAAAUGGUAGUUCAGGAGAUGAAAGCCCCUCCAAGAUAUACCAAAGAACAGGAAGUUGACCCAUCAAAUGUUACAUGGGAAAGAAACACCCAAAGACCAAUAUACUACUCCAAUAGAGGUAGGGGUGGGGAUUACAAUAGGGGGAGGGGAAGAGUGCAGUAUCAGGAAGGGUGUUUCCGUUGUGGUCGUCCGGGACACUUCGUCCGUGAUUGUCGGAAACCUGAACUCGGAGCCCAACAGAGAACAUCUCGGGGCAGAGGCCAUAACCCACACAUGGCCCCUAACGUGGAAAAAGCACCACGACCACACUCCCAGUACCCUUUGUCCACUGGAGGGGAAAGGGAGUGGUACUGAGACAGCCCACGGAACGACCUCAGCAGGGUUAGGGCGGAACCCUUGCUGACUUUGGAGGUGAACUCACGUCCUGUUGAAUUCCUGGUGGAUACUGGGGCAACAUACUCCACACUGAACUAUGAACUUCCAAAAAAUCUUAUUUCAGACGAAACCACUGAAGUAAGGGGGUUUUCCGGGGCUAUAACUAGACUGCCAUUCUCCAAAGAACUCGCAGUGCAUGAAAAAACAAUCACUGACUCACUCUUUUCUGCUGUCAUAUUCCUCACCGACAAAUUUGUUGGGAAGAGACUUGCUAGUGAAACUUGGAGCUGAAAUCCUAUGCAGCCUGGAGGGGAUUAUAGUAACUAUGAAAAAUGGUAUCACCAUGAACUGUUCCAUCAUGACCACAAUGAGAACGCAUGGACAAUGGUUACUUUCAGCAAACACCUCUCCACAGGGAGCUGACAUUUACUGGGGGAGGGUGCUUCUGGGGGACACAAGGGACACCCUGAAUGAUCUGUACUGUCAAUGGGAACCUUGGAUAUUAUCAUUAGUACCAUACACUCAGCUAAUAGAUCCACUGGAUGUCACUUUGUUUUAUGAUAGAACACAAGAGUACUGGUACCAAGAACAAUUUGAUAACAUCGCAGGAGAACAAUGGGAAAUUUGUGGGGCAGGAAUAAUGAUAGGCAAAGAGGGAGUGGCAGCUAUAGUAGAACUUACCCCCGAACAGGAACAAUGGUAUAGAAUGAGGGAAGAGGCAUCACCCCAUAUAUCAUUAUUAGUACAUCCCCAACACCAAGCUAAAGAUCAAGGACCAAUGGUAAAGAAGGGAAUAAAUUUAACAGAUUGGAGGAAAACCCAACUUCCUGGUGUAAAAUAUUCACCUAGCUCAGGGUAUUAUUUGAUCACACAAGAAACAAAAGACAAUGUAGUGUUGGAACACAAAUGGCUCACAAGAUGGCAUGGUAGGGAUAAAAGUAAUCAUGAAAAUGAUGAAACAAUGUUGAAAAGUUUGCCCGAUCAGUUAUGAACACAGAAUCCCACAGAUGUAGGGUUUUGUAAAAAUUUCCCAGAAAUAUCGUUCGAGCUGACAUGUGAUGAUCCAAUUUUGGAGGCCUCAAUACAAGCACAAACCAAAGGCAGAGGAAGGUAUCAAAGAUAACAUUGAAGGUUUGUUUAACCGCAGGGGUUUUAGAGUAUGCUGAUUCCAAUUGGAACACACCCAUUUUGCCUGUGGAAAAACAAAACACAGGAAAAUUCAGAAUGGCACAUGAUUUGAGAACAAUCAAUCAAAUCAUUAAAACUCCAACUUAACCUGUUCCAAACCCAUAAACUUCUCUGAAUUAAAUCACUAAAAAUCAAUCAUGGUAUACUUGCAUCGAUCUCACUAAUGAUUUCUUCUGUUUACCUCUCGCAGAGCACGUAAGGGACAUUGUUUGACCGUACUCACCGCGCACUCUGUGGUAACUUAUGUUAAUUAAUCAUCAUUUAUAAUUUCCACUCUGAGACAAAGACGGUUGGAAAACAGUCUGCACAACUAAAUUUGGUUUUCACACAUGAGGGCAUAAACAUGGCCUCAUAUUGGACAGAAGGAGAACCCCAUGACUGUUGUAUGACCGUGGAAAGGGAAGAGAAAAUUAGACCAGAUUUGUUGACACAAAUCAUUCCGGAGGGAGUUAUGGUGUUUUCAAAUGGAUGUUGUUUCAGAGAUUCGAGUGGAACACUGAGGUCAGGAAUAGGUAUUGCAGCACUGCAAGAGGAAGAGAUUCAAAUAUUGAGAGCAGAACCUUUACAGGGACAUCAGUCAGCUCAGAGAGCAUAAAUUGUGGCAAUGACAAAGGCUUUGGAGUGGGGAGAGGGAAAAAUAAUUAACAUUUUUAGUGACUCUGCCUAUGAAGUGGGUGCAGUAGUAACAGAAUUACCUAAGUGGAAAAGAUAUGGUUUUAUGGCAGCUAACAACAAACCUAUUAAACAUCAGGAAGACAUCAUAGCAUUAGCAGCAGCUAUUUUGAGACCCAACUAGGUGGCGAUCAUAAAGUGCAAAGGUAAUGAUAACAGUAACUCAGAUGCGGCACAAGGUAACCGGAUAGCGGACAUGGCAGUAAAGAUAGGUGCAGAGUACGUAACACAGAUGGUAUUGCAGAAUGCCACACAAGAAUGUACCACCGACAUUUUGCAUGAUCCAAACAUAGCAGUAGAACAAGAUAAAGCAUGAGGAAAAAUCCAUGUGGCUCCAAAAAGGAACUGUAUGGACGCAAACUGGCUGGGUAGGGCAUGACGGUAGACCCGUAACUCUGCCCAGCAUGGUAAAACCCCUUCUCACUCAAGCACACACCCCCUCACAUGUUGGAAUCAAACAACCCGUGUCCAAUCUUAACCAGUGGUGGCACCCAUACCUGGCUGCUACAGUUAAAGAAUUUAUCGCUAACUGCAGGGUAUGCUCCAUACACAAUGUACGUGCUGGAGUGAAAUGUGCCCCAGGUGUCUUCCCGCCACGGGGACCUGGUGAGGAAGUGGUUAUCGAUUACACAGACAUGGGGGACAGAGUGGAAGGUAAACGGUAUCUUUUGGUUUUCGUGGAUGUGUUUUCAGGUUGGCCAGAGGCGUGGCCCACGGGGAAGGAAGAUUUGAUUUCGGUGAUUAAGUGUUUGAUUAACCAAUAAAUUCCGCGUCACGGUUUUCCACGAAUUAUUCGCUCAGACAACGGUACACAUUUUAAGAAUAAAGAUUUGCAAAAGGUUGAGAGUGCACUGGGAUUGUGCUUCCGUUUCGGUACCGUAUAACAUCCUCAAUCACAGGAAAAAGUUAAACGCAUGAAUCUUAACCGCAUGACCUCAUUUACACCAUUUGAACUUCUGAUGGUAGUUCAUUUCCUGGUCCGUUCAACCCAGUGCACCCUGAACAAAUAAAAAUCUCGAUCACAGAACAUAAUUAACCAAACUGAAUGAAAUUGUUUCAAGUUUUUCCAAACAGAAAACCAUCUCUCGUGCAUAUCCAGAUGCAGAAAUCACUCUAUUGGAGGAUUGGGUGCUCCUAAGGGAUAUGGUAAGAUUGGACCUGCAGGAACUGCAGGUCCAAAAGGGGGAAUCCAACACAGGGGAACAACAGCAGGUUGACAUUUCCCAAAAGAACACAAAAGUUACACUCAAAGAACUAAAGGGGGAUUAUUCAACAGUCCAAAACAUGAAGCAUUAGCUCACUGCAUUAGCAAAGAUUGUGCAUUUGGAAAAAGAAUAGCAUUGGAAUUCAGAAAAAGAUAUGGAGUAGACAAAGUAGUUUGAUAAUGGAAACAGUGGGACAGUGCGCGGUAACACAGGAAGGGCAAAAAUAAAAAAUUUUCAAAAGAGAAAGCCAAAGAUUUUCCAAAAUACGACACAUUGAGACAGGCAAUAAAAUAACUAAAAAAAAAAAAAAAACACUGUGAAGAACAAAGGGUAAAAAACUUGGCUAUACCCACGAUUGGGUGUGGUCUGGAUAGAUUAGAGUGGGAAAAAGUAAAGGAUUUAAUCAAAGAAGAGUUCCAAAACACUGAAAUAACCAUUACUGUGUAUGUAAGGGAAUAAUAAGUGGAAAAAAGAGGAGAUUGUGAUUGUGAAGUAUUUUACUAUUUUUCAAAUAUUUUACGUUUUUCUAUUUCAUGAUUUUCAAAUAUUUGACACUUUUCUAUUUUCAGAUUUUAAAGAUUUUACAUUUGAAUAUUUUACAACUUCCAAGUAUUUUACAGUUUACUAUUUUUGGUGAUUUUUAAAGGUGUUACAUUUUACCAUUUUCAUGAGUUUCAAGUAUUUCACAUGUGACUAUUUUUUGAGAAUUUCAAAUAUUUUACAUUUUCCUACAUAUUGUGAUUUUCAAGGGUUUUCCAGUUUACAAUAUUUUAUGAUUUUCAAAGGACUUACAUUUUAAUAUAUCCUUUUGUGAGCAUCUUUGAAAAUAUUUGAUAAAAUUCUACAAUUUUCAUAUAUCCUUUCAGGAGUAUUUUUUAAUAAUAUUGUUUUACAUGUUUAUGGAUUAUUUUACAAAGGCAUUUUGAAGACAUUUUACAAUUAUCUUGAAUUAAAAUAUAUUGUGGUAUAGAUUUGUAGGCUUAUCAGUUUACUUUUAACGUGUGUGUUUUGAAAUUAUUUUACAUCCAGUUUGACUAUAUUUUACAGCCUUCAUCUAUAUUUUUAUAAAUGUUUUAUAAUUCUUUUAUUUCUGGGAUAUAUAACAUUUUUAUUACGUGACAGUUUUUAGAGGAAUAUUUACUAUAUUUUGGUUAUAUUUGACAGUGUGUGGAGGAUAUAAUUUUGCUGUAUUUUACAGGACGUUUAUAAUAAAUGUUCACCAAAUUUGUAUAUUUGAAUAUUUUCAAGCCGAGAUAAGAUUUACACGAAAUCAUAUAUUUGUGAUAGUGCCUGUUUAGAAAUAAAUAAAUAAACAAAUAAAUAAAGUGACAAAAAUUAAGGGAUUAAGAACCCAUGUAAUAGCUGGAUGACAAAAUGGUUUGGGCAAUACAGCGCACUGAUAACCUCAUUGAUAAUGUCUAUUGCGGUGGCGGCAGCAAUAAUAGUAAACUGUGGAUGUUGUUGUAUGCCAUGUAUCAGAUCUUUGUGUAACAGGUGUAUCGUGAAGACGGUGGAGGGAAAGGAUCCUCCACCGUAUCAGAUGCCACUGCUAGGAGGAGGAUGAACCAGUGGUUGAUCUCCUGUAAAGGAGAUCAAAAGGGGGAAUGAAGGAAAAUGAGAACAUUUCCCACAUCAGUAUAUCCUUUCAUUAUUAAUAAUUGCAUUGCUUCUAAUAUUAUAAAGCAGUUAUGAGUAUUAAUAUUUAGCAGUUUAUCACAUAGUAUUGAAAUCAGUUAUGUUUAUGAUCGGUCUUAUUUGUUGUGCAUGAUCAAAGCUUAUAUAUGAAUCCAUUGCAUUUGACUCUAAAAGGUCAUGUCUGCAGAAUUUUGGAGGCUUGCAGUCUUGUGUGGUAUGUAUGUAUGUGUGUUUUUUAACUUUUGCUUUGCAGAGACACCUGGGGAGAAAAACAGGAUGUCGGGGCGACAGGGUGAACUAAAGGUCAAUGUUGUUUAUAGCAGCAUGAACUUCUGAGACAGAAGUAAAACUUUCCAUCGAACGGGCCCCCACCCAACUACACAUAUAUAUUUUUGGGUCAGAGGGAGAGGCAGAUCAGAUCAACCGCUCCUCGGGGGACCUGUUUCUGCAUUGGUGUUGUGUAAGGACAGGGACAGUUUUGAUCCAGAGCUCUGUAAUACUUCAUUUGAGAUACUUAUUAAAAAUAUUUGAUUUGA